rnacentral:rRNA from 1 species
AUGAACGCUGGCGGCGUGCCUAAUACCUGCCAGUCGAGCGAACAGACGAGGAGCUUGCUCCUCUGACGUUAGCGGCGGACGGGUGAGUAACACGUGGAUAACCUACCUAUAAGACUGGGAUAACUUCGGGAAACCGGAGCUAAUACCGGAUAAUAUAUUGAACCGCAUGGUUCAAUAGUGAAAGACGGUUUUGCUGUCACUUAUAGCUGGAUCCGCGCCGCAUUAGCUAGUUGGUAAGGUAACGGCUUACCAAGGCAACGAUGCGUAGCCGACCUGAGAGGGUGAUCGGCCACACUGGAACUGAGACACGGUCCAGACUCCUACGGGAGGCAGCAGUAGGGAAUCUUCCGCAAUGGGCGAAAGCCUGACGGAGCAACGCCGCGUGAGUGAUGAAGGUCUUCGGAUCGUAAAACUCUGUUAUUAGGGAAGAACAAAUGUGUAAGUAACUAUGCACGUCUUGACGGUACCUAAUCAGAAAGCCACGGCUAACUACGUG